GAUCCUCCUACUUCAGCCUCCUGAGUAGCUAGGACUUCAGGAAAACCACAAGUGUGAUGCAAUGGCAAAAGUAGUAGUAUCCUGAUGGUGGUGGUAAUUCCUAGCCUUCCCAGAGUUGCUGCAGCCAAGUAGCACAUCACUGCAGUGGCAGAAGAACCAUUUAAAAGGAAGAAUUUUGCUUUGAAGAAGAAAGCUAAGGAUUUUCAAAUGGAAUGUGAAGUUGUGGCAUCCAGUUCUGCUUCUAGUGCAUCAGUCCUCAUCUCUUUACAAUGAAUGUCACCUUCUACCUCCUGAACUGAUGUACAUAGGACUCUAGAGGACAUGAUAACUCUAUUUGUACAAGAAACGGGAAGAACCUAAAAUUCACCAAGCUGCACCAUUGUGUUUUAGAAUAUUCUAUUUCAAAUGACAACAGUUCUGCAAGCAGGCAAAACAACAUAAUAAAAGUUAUGUCCCACCAACACUGUGGUAUUAUUAUCUUUACACUGCAGGGAAGGGAGCAAGGCACAGAUGCAUCUGGUCAUGAUUCCAAGAUCACUCACCUGGCUCCUUCAUGGAUG